rnacentral:lncRNA from 13 species
CAUGAAAAGAAGAAUGAUAACACUUCUAGGAAAAAUAUAUAAUCUUUUGUGACAUGCUGUAGGCAGAAAUUUCUUAAAAUAGGACCAAGAAAUACAUCAAGCGUAAAAGAAAAACCAGUGUGGCGUUAGCUACAGCUUUACAUGUCAGUGGAAGUGAAGUUUAGUGCAAUAUCCUUUAAAAACAUAUGACAAUAUCCACUGAGGCACCUCUGUUCUACAAGUCCCCGCUCAAGAUAAAUGGUAGUGGUGCCAGAGCCAAUGGCAGCAUCAUGUGUAACCGCUAAGAACUGGAAACGACCAAAAUGUUCAUCAAGAGAAGGGACCCUACACAGCUGUGGAGUAACAAGUGAUCACUGUUACAGAAACGUGGAUGAAUGUCACAGGGACGUUGAGCAAAAUAAGCCAAAAUAAACAAAAAGAGUUCACAGCGUUUGAUUCCACGGGGUUAAAGAAAGGCACACAGUUAAUCUGUGUGAUUCAAGUCAGAACACCGGGCUUCUCUGUGGGACGGUUUGGUCUAUGCUGAGAAGUAGGAAGGACCCGUAUGAGGUGUUGUAGGCAUUUGUCAUGGGUUGAAUUGUGUUCCAUAAAAAGCGAUAUCAAGUCCUAACCCCCAGCGUCUCAGAAUGGGACCUUACAUUUACAGAACUUAUCAAGUUAAAAUGUCAUCACUGGGGUGGGUCCUGAUCCAGUAAGACUGCUGUUUGGAUAAAAAUGAGAAACUUGGACACAGACAGACAUGCAAAGAGAGAAGACUGUGUGAAGAGAGACAGGAGAAGUCCACGUGACAAUGAAGGCCGAGACUGGGGUGAUGAAUCUCCGAGCUGUGGAAUGCCAGAGACUCUCAACAACCAGCAGCAGCUGGGAGCGGCAUGGAACACCUUCUUCCUCUCAGCCUCAGAAGGAACCAACCCCACCAACAUCCUGAUCCCGGACUUCCAGCCUCCAGAAGCAUGAGGCUUUUCCUCUGCGAUUCCAGUGAUCAGAUCACGGCUGAUGGUUAUGGGAAGAGGCUGUUUCUGGCACAGUGGCUGGCCGAGGCUGAAUCCCCUCCGCACCUCGCCAUGCUGGCUCCAAAGGCAGGUCUUCACAGGGCUGGCCCAGGCCCGCUUUGAUGUGGAGCAUCCAAGCUCAAAGGAAGUUAUUUUAAAAGAGCAGCGCCGGGGCUAUUCUGCCGAAAUGGCUGAACAGAACAGCUCCAGAGCACAGUUCCCAGGGAGGGCUAUGCAAAAGCAGGCUGAGUUCGUUGGAGCAAGGUGCCCUCAUUCCCGUCACAUCUUGCGCAGAAUCGAAGCUGUGGUUUAUGCUGGGCUGUGACGGCCGCUGAGCUCUUUUUAACUUUCCCCCAGGGUUGCACCCUGGCGUAAUGGGGUGGGCUCCUAGGGCCCAAG